rnacentral:rRNA from 1 species
CCCUUAGAUGUUCUGGGCCGCACGCGCGCUACACUGAUGCAUUCAACGAGUCUAAAACCUGCUCUGAUAGGGGUGGGUAAUCUUUUGAAUGUGCAUCGUGAUUGGGAUAGAUGAUUGCAAUUUUUCAUCUUCAACGAGGAAUGCCUAGUAAACGCAAGUCAUCAGCUUGCAUUGAUUACGUCCCUGCCCUUCGUACACACCGUCCGUCGCUCCUACCGAUUGAAUGAUCCGAUGAAUAUCAUGGAUUGAGGAUGCAAGUAGGUUAGCCUAUCUUCAUCUUCGAGAAGUGAAGUAAAUCUUAUCAUUUAGAGGAAGGAGAAGUCGUAACA